CGUUCCGCCCCUUAUAGAAUCGAUUAUUGAUGGGAAGAUAUUAUUUAACUAUCCAAAAUAUUAUUUAAUUAUUUUCAGAAUUAUUUUCUUUCAAUGUUUAUUCAAAUAGAACUUAAACCCAUCUCAGAAUUUUUAAAUGCUUGAUGACGUCACAUUUAAAACGUGGCAACAUUGGUUUCCCCACUUUGACAGCCAAUGCUUAGUAGAGGGGUACGAAGGAUUCAGCUGUGAACGUGAGCCUUGGAUUGCCAUUGUUUCUCGAGUGUUCGGUCUGAAUCGUAGUGUGCGGGGUCAUUAGACUCAAUUAUUCACCUCUAAUUCUCAGUUCCAAAUUGAUUAAAUAUUACAAUAAAAGUAUAGUGAAGUUAUCCAGCAGCAGUGGAUUUGAAGAAUUUUAGAGCAUACUAUAUCCAAUGAGUUCUACCCCGCACCUACCAUGAAAUCUUAAAGCCACCCUACAACAACACCAAGGCCAGACCACACAGAGAGAAACAAUCAAUAGGCGACCAGCCUGGAUUAUUUCCACAUUUUCUUUUUUUGAGUACCUCCAGCUGCUUUCCAACAGUUUUGAGUACCUUCAGCUGCUUUCUACCAGUCUUCCUCUCCUGUACCUCCAGCAGGACAGCUGCUAGCGAGAGUUAGCACCCUUGGGUGCUCAUUACAUCAACUUCAAGAUUAGGAAAGAGUGGUUUGUUUGGGAACAUUUACUGUGCUCUUAUUAAAGACAGACUGGUUUUGUGAUAUUUAGUACAUUUUUUUUUAUAGUUCAAUUGCACACACAUUUUUCCUGCUUUAUAUUUUUUAUAGGUUUUUUUUUUCUUUACAACAUAAUAUUUAAUUGAUAGCGUUCCCCAACACUCUGCAAUCUAUAAAGGUAUAAAUUUCUGAGCUCAGAUAUUUUCCCUGAUAAUAGUAGUCGGUACUCUUAUCUUGAUUAUUUUUAGGCUGUGUUCCACUUUUGUAUAAUUAUUUAAACUCAUUCCAUUAUUUUAGUAUAUGUUUAAUUAAAUUUUUAAAAA